rnacentral:rRNA from 1 species
CUUGUUUAUCAAAAACAUGUCCUUUUGAAUUUAUUUAAGGUCUAGUCUGCCCACUGAAUUAUAUUUUAAAUGGCCGCAGUAUUUUGACUGUGCAAAGGUAGCAUAAUCAUUAGUUUUUUAAUUAAAAGCUUGUAUGAAAGGCUGGACGAGGUAAAAUCUGUCUCUAUUUAAAUUAUAAUAGAAUUUAACUUUUGAGUUAAAAGGCUCAAAUUUAAUUAAAAGACGAGAAGACCCUAUAGAGCUUUAUAAUUUAUUUAAUAGAAUUAAUUUAGAAAUAUUUAUAUUUUUUUAAAUAAAAUUAUUUUAUUGGGGUAAUAGAAAGAUUAAAUUAAUUCUUUUUUUUUAUAAACAUUGAUUUAUGAAUUUUAAUGAUCCAGUUUUAUUGAUUAUAAGAUUAAGUUACCUUAGGGAUAACAGCGUAAUUUUUUUAGAGAGUUCUUAUCGAUAAAAAAGUUUGCGACCUCGAUGUUGGAUUAAAGAUUAUUUUAGGUGUAGAAGCUUAGAAUUUUGGUCUGUUCGCCAUUAAAUCUUUACAUGAUCUGAGUUCAACCCGG